ACAGAAAUGAAAUGCAGUCUCUCCUCUGAGCGUCUCCAAAGCUGCUCUGGACACAAACUCAACAUCACACAUCUUGUAUUCGAUAUGUUUGAAAAGUAUACAUGCAUCUUUGAGAGAAAUCAUCACAGUGACAAUUGUGAGUGCAACAUUACAGUGGAAGGGUUUGUUGCAACAGAGAUCUUCAAUACUACACUUCUGGAAAGAUCAAAUGUUUGACUACAGACUUCACGCCUCCGUGUGGCCACGUGAUAAUGACGCAGAAGGGCAUUUCAAGAAACUGUUGUUUGGUCCCUUACACCCUUCAACCCUUCGAAGCUCUCACUC